UGCUAAUCGCUAAUUAGCCACCAUGCUAGGCGGACUUCGGCAAGAAGGUUGUACAAGUUACUUCUGUGGCCAGAAUGUAAACUCACAUGGUCCAUGCUGUUUUAAAUUAAAUGCUGAAGGAAUAUCUUACCUUAGAUGGCAUGGUUUACUCUACUUUAGGGAGUAAUGUCUGUUUUUUAUUUAAUAUACAGUGAGUUAUAGUUUGUACUGUGUAUUAAACCUAGAGCACAGUACUGUUUAUUACCUAACACCUAACAAGUACGGGAAAGAAAUAUAACACUUGACUACACCUGAGCGGGUCAUACACAGGUAUGAGUAUGUCCUGAAAAACAUACAGAAUCAAAUCUCAAAACAAAAUCAAUCUCUGUCCCAGGCCUUGAAACCAUGGAUCAUGUGGACAGAACAACGAUGGCUCUGACAAGCAUCAUUGCCGAGGUGGAUAUAGCUUCAGGAGGGAAAAACUUUGGUGUGUCCACCCGCACUGAAGGGAAAACCCUAAAAGAUUUCACAUUGCAGUUUAAAGGAUUUGUGGAUUCCUGCCCUGAGCUGAAGAACAAAAUAAAAAAGACUGCAAAGAAAUGAUGAACUCCUUCCACUAAAGUGGCGAUGUAGAACAUAAGAACAAAGUACCUGAAAAUGGUUUUUGUUGUUGUUGGUCUGUUACAUUUACAAUUUAAACAUAGUUUCCUGUUUUGUUCUUGUUUU